GCACCCGCGGUAAUUCCAGCUCCAAUAGCGUAUAUUAAAGUUGUUGCAGUUAAAAAGCUCGUAGUUGGAUUUCUGGGAGGGUGCCGAUGUCCACUUAACGUGUGCGCAGCGGCGCCCUCUCAUCCUUCUGUUAACGUCUCUUGGCAUUCAUUUGCUGGUGGCGGGCUCAGAUAUUUUACCUUGAGAAAAUUAGAGUGUUUCAGGCAGGCUAGGCCGGAAUACAUUAGCAUGGAAUAAUGGAAUAGGACUACGGUCUCUUUGUUGGUUUGAGGGACUGCAGUAAUGAUUAAUAGGGAUAGUUGGGGGCAUUAGUACUUAACUGUCAGAGGUGGAAUUCUCAGAUCUGUUAAAGACUGACUUAUGCGAAAGCAUUUGCCAAGGAUGUUUUCAUUGAUCAAGAACGAAAGU
rnacentral:rRNA from 1 species